rnacentral:lncRNA from 1 species
CUUUUUGCAAACUUAAUAUAGCUGGUUGAUCCGAGCUUCCAUUUUCUAUCCUCCACAAUCAUCCCACACAUUUCAUCUCCCUCAUCAAUUUUCAGCACAUCAGCUACUGAACAAAUUCAGAAGAUUUGCAGAAUGAUAACCCAACAGAUUUCUUUUGAAGGUUAAACCUCUAACUCUCUUACUCGAGCACUUCUUUUGAAACAGAAACUCAAGUUAGAACCAAUACAUAACACGUACACUGAUUCCAUCAUAUAUAAAUUUGCAUAUGACAACAAGACCCAAACUCAAUGAUGUUUAUUUAUCGUCUGUGCAUAUACAUACAUACAUGAAGCAUUAGUUUUUUAAAAAUAGAAAAGAAGUAGAUAUUGAAGCUCUGUUUUUUUAUCCUUGUUUUCGAACUGCUGUGUCGAGUCGGGUAGACGAGUGUGGUGGCUGUGUGAAUUGAGUCGGGAGGUGGACGGAGGCACGGCACGGCAGCGGCGCUGCUGUCGCCCGGCCACGGUGAGAGAGAGGGAGCUAGGGCUCGGGCGCCGCUCUUCGCGGUGGGAUGUCGGGCCUGUUUCAGCCGAGAGAAGAGAGAACCGAGGGGCAUGUCUGCCGUUGCUCCGGCGAACUCCAGCGGCCGUCAGGCAGCCGAAGGGAGACGAGAGAGAGGAGGGAGGCAGAGUCGGAGGCGGCGGCGCCGCUGCUGCCCGCCGGACGGGCGAGAGGGAGACCGAAGAGGGGCGACGGCCGGCGAACCUACUGCCGUCGACUGACGAACAAGUCGGGGAAGAGAGCGGCUUCCGCUACUCGUUGGCGGAAGUGAGAGAGAGAGGAGGCCGCUGCACGGCGGCUCUGCCCGCUGAUGUCGGGCCGAGGACGGAGAGAGAGAGGGUGAGAAGGGGCGGCGACCAGCUACUGGUCGUGGCAGCCGGAGUUCAGCGGAGGAAGGCAGAGCUCGGCGGCCAUGGCUGCUACUGCUCGGCCACGGACGUUUGAGGGAGAGAAGAAGAAACGGGCGGCUGUUACCAGCCGAAUAGAGAGAGAUCAGAUGGAGAUGGGGCGAUUUCCGGCAGCUGUUGUCGCCGGAGAAGCCGCGCCGCUUGUUGUGUGGGUGUGAGUAUGUGUCUGCGCGUGAACAGAGAGAGAGAGGGAUGGAGCCUUGGGAGAGAGAGUGUGAGAUAUCAGAUAUGUGAUAGUGUGUGUGCGUGACUGAUAUGAGAAAGAUGGAAGGAGAUAUGGGUUUGAGUUGGGCUAGGGCUUAGUUAGAGUGUUGGGCUUUGGGGUUGGGCUUGAAGUUGGGGAGUGGGCUUGAGUAUAUGGGCCGAAAAUUUUAAAGGUUGGGCUUUGUUAUUUCCUUAUUUGGGCCGAGUAUUUGGGCCGAUUUUUAUGAGUGAUGGGCUUCGAUUUUUAAAUAGAUUUGGGCUGCGAUUUUUAAAAGCUUGGGCCGAUUUUUAAUAUUAUUUAGCUGGGCCCGAUUUAUUUUAUUCAGUCUGGACCAUUCAUAUUUUAUUGAGUUGAGCCUCAUCUUUUAAAUUUAUAUGGGCUAUUAUUUAUUUAAGCAUGAGCUCUAUUUCAUCUAUUUAAAUGGCUUCCCUAUUUUAUUUAAUUAGACUAUUAAUUAGUUUGAUUAAUUAUUUUUAAAGACUUUGGAUUGCCUUCAAUUAAUUAAAUUGGGCUUUCUUAUUUUUAAUUAAUUGAACUAUUAUUAGUUUGAUUAAUUUAUUUAAAGGAUAAUUUUUAUAAUAAUAUUAAAUUAUUAUUAAGUGCAUAUUUUAAGUAAUUACUUAUCAUAUGCUAAGCAUGACAUGACAUUUCAUUUGCAUCAUGAAAUAAAAAGUAUUUAUGAUUUAAUUGGUUUUAUUUAUAAUUCCAAUUAUUAAAGAAAGAUGAGUAAGAAUAUUGUUGGUGUUCUUAACUCAAGAGAAAUGUUUUUAAUUAUUUAUUCAUUAAAAACCCGGCUAAGUGAAUCAUAGAAUGUUAAGCACUACACCAUGACUUAAGAUUAGAUUCAAGGAGACCUAUUAAGAAUAGAAUUUCUUGUAGGCUUUGUGGACCAAGGGGAUUAGCACUGUUUUCCCAAGACAGGUUAUGUGAUUAUGAUCUUCAGGCUUUGCCUAUCCAGGUGGGCAUUACUUUUACUAUACGUAUAUAGAGAUCCCCUGCGUGUCGUAGGCCUCUUAUACGAAUAUAUGCAUGAGAUGAUUUUAACUGUUAAUUUCAGUUUAUUAUUAUGCCCAAAUGAUAAAUGACUCUUAUGAAAUAAAAAUGAAAUGUUUAUGAAAUGAAAUGAAAUGUUUAUGAAAUGAUUGACUGCCAAAAAUGUUUAUGUUUUUAUAUGUAUCCUAUCUGUGUUGGUUCGCCAACUUUAAAGGAAAUCCAAUUGGGAUCCUAUGCUAGACAAAGGUCGCUAGCUAGGGUUAACGUGUACACUCAUGGAGACCGCGAGUCGCUUGCGACCGGUCUUGGCGUCCGUGGUAAGGAGGCCUCCUUCCCGGCGCGUGACAGAAAGGAACAGAUAUGGAUCAUAUGAAGGAAAAUGAUCGGCCGAUCGACUUUAUGAAAAUGAAAGAAAUAUUUUAGUAAGCGCAGGUCAUUUAAGAAAACCCCUGUGUGUUACUGUUAUGGCAGUUCAAUUUAUAUAUGUAUGCAUGUUGUAUUUUCGGCUAUGCCCACUGAGUAUUUUUAUACUCAGCCCUGCAUGUAUUUCUAAAUGUGCAGGUUGAGCAGCUGAUGGAAUGGAAUGAUGUUGAGCGGGUGUUCCUUUGACAUUUCAAGAAAUGUAACCUUGAGUAUACAUCUUCAUAUGUAUAUCUCACACGUUUUCCGCUGCAAAACACUUUGAUUAAGAUAGCUCUAUGAUAUGAAGUUGUGAUACGUGUUAUUGGGUAA